UACGUAGGGUGCGAGCGUUGUCCGGAAUUAUUGGGCGUAAAGAGCUCGUAGGCGGUGUGUCACGUCGGCCGUGAAAACCUGCAGCUUAACUGUGGGCGUGCGGUCGAUACGGGCAUCACUGGAGUUCGGCAGGGGAGACUGGAAUUCCUGGUGUAGCGGUGAAAUGCGCAGAUAUCAGGAGGAACACCAGUGGCGAAGGCGAGUCUCUGGGCCGAUACUGACGCUGAGGAGCGAAAGCAUGGGGAGCGAACAGG
rnacentral:rRNA from 1 species